rnacentral:lncRNA from 1 species
CUGGCUGGAGAAGGAGAAGAUUGCUUCUAGAGGGGGAGGCAAAGCUUUCCUGAAUUCCUCAGGUGCAUUCCUCUGUUGUGAAGACAAGGGAGUUCCAUUCAAACAUCUGAUCCUGCUAAAGAACAGAGACCAACCAAAGAGUUCUAGACACCUCUUCAAGAAGCUUGAAACUGGACAAGACAGAGCAUACACUAACACAGGGUUCCUGUAACAGUGGGAAGAAGCCUGGAGGACAAGCGGG